UACGAAGGGGGCUAGCGUUGCUCGGAAUCACUGGGCGUAAAGCGCACGUAGGCGGCCUUUUAAGUCAGGGGUGAAAUCCUGGAGCUCAACUCCAGAACUGCCUUUGAUACUGAGAGGCUUGAGUCCGGGAGAGGUGAGUGGAACUGCGAGUGUAGAGGUGAAAUUCGUAGAUAUUCGCAAGAACACCAGUGGCGAAGGCGGCUCACUGGCCCGGUACUGACGCUGAGGUGCGAAAGCGUGGGGAGCAAACAGG
rnacentral:rRNA from 1 species